AGUGAACGCUGGCGGCAGGCCUAACACAUGCAAGUCGAGCGGCAGCGCGUCCGACCACCCUCGGGUGGUCGGAUGGCGGCGAGCGGCGGACGGGUGAGGAAUGCAUCGGAAUCUGCCUCGUUGUGGGGGAUAACGUAGCGAAAGUUACGCUAAUACCGCAUACGCUCGAGAGAGGAAAGUGGGGAUCGCAAGACCUCACGUUAUAGGAGCGGCCGAUGUCCGAUUAGCUAGUUGGUGGGGUAAAGGCCUACCAAGGCGACGAUCGGUAGCUGGUCUGAGAGGACGACCAGCCACACUGGGACUGAGACACGGCCCAGACUCCUACGGGAGGCAGCAGUGGGGAAUUUUGGACAAUGGGCGCAAGCCUGAUCCAGCCAUGCCGCGUGCGGGAAGAAGG
rnacentral:rRNA from 1 species